CAAACCGGAGCCCAGGCAUGAUAGGAAUUGGAGGGGAAUUUAAGUGAAUUUCUCCCAGUCGUAUAUGGUAAAUACCACCUUCCCACUUGGUUAUCAACGCAUUAUAAAUGUGAUUGAGGGCCUUUUGAGCCAAUUAAGGCUUCGCACACGAAUCUCCACCAAUGACUGAGAAGGAGGCAGGGUCUUGGAUGGAGUCAGAUUGCAUUGGGAAAAGCUUGGAUAAUUUUAGUAGAGGAAAAUGGAAAAAGGGACAAUUCAUUUAUAGGAGCAGAAGAAGUUCAUCCUCAGUGUUUGACAGGGAUUUCUUUGCAAAUCUUUACUGUGGAACUAGAAAAAAUAACGAUAUUCAUCAGGAUUCGAAACAUGGGCCAUGUGUGAUUGAAGAGGACCACCACCACCACCAGGCUGCUGAGGGAACCUGUCUGCCCAGAGAAACAGCAACCAGUAUGGACAUCGUGGAAGACUUCCCUCCCCCGCCUCCUGAAAGUAAGUAAUGCCAACAUCCUCCUCUCCUCCCCUCUCAAUCUCUCCCAGCACUUGUAAAUCCCCCCGUAGCCAAUGAGAACACAUGCUGCUGCUCAGGCCUGUCGACAGCUCUGUUUAUGGUUUUCCAUGCUGAGAUGAGUGUGAGGCACUACUUGGUGAUGUCAUUAUGUCAUGUCCGUUGGUGGAUUUAGCUUGUCGCCCUGAGAUGUUAUCAGACAGUGACAGUCUACUUGUCCCUUUGUUACUCCUAGGGCAGUUUGUGUGUUCUUGUUAAUGUUUUUGAGUAGUCAGUUAAUGUUGCUCAAACUAACAGGUCUUUAAGGCUGUUUUGGUUGAUGAUGAUGAUCUAUGUAUCUAUGUAUCAUAUUUCCGUUAGCCCUGUUGAUGGUAACAGGUUUGAAAGGUCUGUUUCGGCUGACACAUUGAUGGUCAGUCUAGCUCCCUGAGGGCCUUUUCAUGAUGGGCAGACCGUGUAAACACAUUCCUCUCUGGAGCUCGUGGGCCGUGGAACGAAGGAGUGAGGAGAAGGAGGAGGAGAAAUGUGCCACAAUUGCGAAGGGCAGACAAUGUGCCUCAGUAUCCGAGCCCUGGCUGAAUACUGCAGCAUCAGGCACGCGCACACACACACACACACCACAGGGAAUGGAGCAGGCCAGAGAAAUGCUUCAUCUCCAGCUGGGCAGCCACUUGCCUUGUUGCCGUGGCGAUGCUGGAGCACAUUGUAAGCCAAUGACUCAUUGAGCGGAGCAGUGUGGCGGAGAGGAGGCACGGGAACAGAAUCCAUAUUGUGGUUAUUAAUUGACAAUCGGUGUUGGGGACAGGCCUAGUUUUCUCUCUCUCUCUGUGUGUGUGUGUGUGUGUGUGUGUGUGUGUGUGUGUGUGUGUGUGUGUGUGUGUGUGUGUGUGUGUGUGUGUGUGUGUGUGUGUGUGUGUGUGUGUGUGUGUGUGUGUGUGUGUGUGUGUGUGUGUGUGUGUGUGUGUGUGUGUGUGUGUGUGUGUGUGUGUUGGUUAGAGAGAGAGUAUUGAGCAGACUGCAGGCACACACAUUCUCACAGCGCCAACUAUCCAUGGCUUCAUCAUUUACACUUGAUCGUGACCAAAUUAUUGAAUGGGCAAUUUAAACGAAUGAUCUGUUCAAGCUUUUAUACGAUCCCUGUUCCAUCACUCCCC
rnacentral:lncRNA from 8 species